UUUAACCAGGUAGGCCAGUUGAGAACACCUUUAUUUAACCAGGUAGGCUAGUUGAGAACACCUUUAUUUAACCAGGUAGGCUAGUUGAGAACAGCUUUAUUUAACCAGGUUGGCUAGUUGAGAACACCUUUAUUUAACCAUGUAGGCUAGUUGAGAACACCUUUAUUUAACCAGGUUGGCUAGUUGAGAACACCUUUAUUUAACCAGGUAGGCUCGUUGAGAACACCUUUAUUUAACCAGGUAGGCUAGUUGAGAACACCUUUAUUUAACCAGGUAGGCUAGUUGAGAACACCUUUAUUUAACCAGGUAGGCUAGUUGAGAACACCUUUAUUUAACCAGGUAGGCUAGUUGAGAACACCUUUACUUAACCAGGUAGGCUAGUUGAGAACACCUUUAUUUAACCAGGUAGGCUAGUUGAGAACACCUUUAUUUAACCAGGUAGGCUAGUUGAGAACACCUUUAUUUAACCAGGUAGGCUAGUUGAGAACACCUUUACUUAACCAGGUAGGCUAGUUGAGAACACCUUUAUUUAACCAGGUAGGCUAGUUGAGAACACCUUUAUUUAACCAGGUAGGCUAGUUGAGAACACCUUUAUUUAACCAGGUAGGCUAGUUGAGAACACCUUUACUUAACCAGGUAGGCUAGUUG